GACUUUAUCUUCUUGCCCUGCUUGGCACCACUCUGAACCCGCAACAUCUGAUUUCUAAGCUAAGGCAUCCCGGAACCUACCCGAAACUCACUCGAGCCCUCGAAACUCCAAUCCAACUAUACAUCCAACUUCAAAACAUUCUACGAACAUAUUCGUGUAAUCAAAUUACGAAGAUAACAUCACUAACAACAAAUUAAACCUCAAAAUCACUGAAAUUUCUCAAAAGUUCUUUAAACAUCAAAUUUCCCAAUUAAGGUCCUGAUCACAUCAUACGACGUUCGUUUUUAAUUGAAUUUCAUA
rnacentral:lncRNA from 1 species